rnacentral:lncRNA from 12 species
CUUCAGGUGCCUCAGUGAAGCGGAGGCUCAGACUCUAACCUGCCCUCUGCCACCCACCCAGGCAGUAUCCUCCCAGCAGGUGCAGCUAUGAGGUCCCCCUUGGCUUCUCUCCACCAGGUGGCCAUGCGGAGACCAGGCUGGAGCAGCCUGCUGUAGUCGUGGCACGUGAGAAAAGCUCAGCCUCCCUGCUGUGCACAGCCAAUGUCAAGGCCAGCUAUAUCCACUGGUACCGCUACCAGGAAGGAAAAGGGCUCC